GGAGGGGUUUGAUGUGCUGGUUCACAUCUCACCUGAAAUGGAAAUAGAGAGUGGCCAUUCCUGGUGCCCUUGUCCAGCACAGCUCCAAGGGCUACAGGUCCUUUCUACCCAGAUGACUGGAGAACUGAAGCAAGAAAUACUGUGCAAAUAAAGGCUGAUCAACGGUGAGGGCCUUCGUUUCCCAUUCUCCUGAGCCACUGGCAGCCACCAUUUAAUCCUCAUUUACCUCUCUCUGGAUGAGGGCAUUGGCCCUGCAGCUGGGAAGGCUCUCACAGCCAGCACUGAAUGCUGGAUGAAGGUCUGCAGGAAUUACCUGAGGCCUCCUACUGCAAGUGGAUUUUUGAGAAAGAAGCUGGACCCAGCCCCUGAUCCUAAGAGGGAUGGAAUCCAAUUUCCCUCCAGUGCUGACAGGUUUUCAGCUGGAUCUGCAGCCACGUGAGAGGCUCCUGCAGCCACACCAUGCCAAGACUCCCUGUUUUUGGGUGUCACUCCUCCCUGCUGCCAAGGCUCCUGCAGUUCCUGCCACAUGGGAUUACUGAUGCAUCAGUGCCAUUGGUAGAGCCAGAGGGGAACAACGAGGGAAGCAGCAAAAUGGGAUCAGGUACAAUGUCAAUACACAAAGAGGGUAACCCCAGUCUCUAAACCAGCAAAGUCUGGGUUUGAGCAGUGAUUAAUAAACCCAUGUUAUUACUGGGUAGAAAAUAUACUUUGAAUUUCUGCUCAUAACAACUACUCGGUGACUUCCUGAUUAGUAUGCAAAUGUUGUACCCAUUGAAGUGGAAAUAAACCUGGAAUUUGCUGUCUUUGCAGCGGGAUUUCGGCCAUUCUUGAAAUCCCACUUUCUACCACAUAACAUAAAUGAAGCAAAUACCUUUCACUUCUGCUUUAGAGGGAUCCAUAAAUCAGAAACAAAGGACAGCAGAAUAACAGGCUGGUGUUUCUCCUCCUAGAGCAGCAGGAAUGCUGCGCCAACAGCAACAAUGUCAACGUGACCUGCGGUUUCCAUGCCAGAUGAUUCCAUGGAACUUGAGGCUGCUCACCUUCCAGGGAGCCAGCCCUCACCUGCAGCACUCAGUCAGUCUCCCUCAGGGGUCAUUCCUCGGUAAGAGGUGCCAGCAGACACCUCAAACUUCGUGAAUUUGGGGGAGCAGGGCUGUGGGUGUUGAUGUGGGCUCAGACUUUUGAUAACUGGUUUUGUGCCUGGUUAUCAUCGCAGCUGCUGUGCAAACAGCAAACUGGUUAAACACAGAGCUGCUGUGAGUAAUAGAGAAGGCCUCAUCUCUGACCAUCACCCCCUGCCUGCUGUGUGGGACAUGGGGGCAGAGAUCAGCCCAGAAAACUCCCUGCUUUCUUCGGGGGGAGUUACAGCACAAGGUGAACCAAACUGCACGGAAGCCUGGAAAACCGAGGUUUUCCAGUCAAAAACAUUUGGAAAAAUGUGUGUGUGUUGGGGUGUAACAGCUUUGCCUGGCAGUGCCUCAGCUGCCCUUGGCUGUCAGAGCAGGGAGGGUCAGAGUGGCUGUGACACCUGCUCGCAGCUCAGCCGUGACCCGGUGCUGUG